UGCAGCCAAGGUCUGAGUGGUCAGAAAAAGCAACACAAGGUUGAAGAAGACAAAGGAACCUUUUAACAACCUAUGCUAUGGAUGAGUAGCUGUAUCUAAAGGGGAUUAAUUCAAGCAGGACCACCCGGUCACCACUCUCCAAGGAAAAGUGUGUCUACACUGUUUUGCUUCCCAUACUGGAACCAUCCACACGGCUGAUUAGCCCUCCUCCGAAAACCCCUUUUCAGAGCAAGGGCGAGGAACCAGACCACUAAGAGAAAGGACACUGGCGUUGUGAGGAGAAACAAAGAGUUACACCCGGUAACCGAAGACGGACCUUCAUCAGAGAAGUCGGAAUCCGGUCUACGCAGACACACACAUUGGAGACCUUCAACAUUACAAACUUCGAAGCCUUCAGCACCAUGGACAAGGCCUCCUCCACCAGCCUGCGCAGUGCCACAGACAGAGCAGAGGACCUGAGCCCUAGGGCAAUGCCUCAGGAAUACCUGGCCUGAUAACUCCUGGCUGUCCCCGUCCCUGGUCCACCUGGUCGUGCCUUUGACCCAGCUUCUGCUGUUCUGCCUGCGGCCAUGGAACCCCGAGCUGUUCACCCUCAACACCCCACACAUGCUGUCACAUAACUGACAUUAACUCCCAAGGUGCUGACCUCUUGCACCCUCUACAACCACUAUGAUUAUUAUUUGACCCAGUGGUCUUCUAUGAACAUUUGAACAUCUUGAAGAACGAUCUAGCCUUAAUGACCAAGUACUCUUAUAAUCUCCACAGGCUGGCCACCCCUCAGAGCCUGGUUACUCUAUGUCUCCUCCUAGGUUCCUUCCUUUCAAAGGAGUUUUUCCGCACCAUGGUGCCUCUACAUCUGCAUUGCUUGCUCUCUGGGGUUUAAGGCUUGGUUUCUGUAUAAGCACUUUGUGCCAAUUCCUGUAAAAAGGGCUCUAUAAAUACAUUUGAUUGAUUAAAAUACAAAGCCCUCACCUCAAUGAAUUUCAUUCAUGAAUUAUUCCCGAUUACAGUAGCAUUUCAUUUCUUACCAUAUUUAUAUUACAGCAGGCGUACUGUAAUAUGAAAUAAAGAAUUGUACUUGCCACGAGCUGCCUGUCAAAUUCAUGGCAAUCUCUUUACAGUGUAAGCUUCCUCUGUUACAUGUCAGCUGGCUGAAGUGGUACAUAGCAGAACAGGAUAUUAUCAGGUAUCAAGGUAAGACCCAAGUGCAGACUGUGAAGUAACAAUGUUUAUUGUAACUGUCAGGAUUUGGCCAGGGUUGUUCCGGUUUUUGGUCACUAGAUGCCCCCAUUGUGCCUUUUGACCUUUUGUUUUCCCUUGAUCCCCAUUAUUAUUUGCACCUGUGCCUCGUUUCCCCUGAUUGUAUUUAAACCCUUUGUUUUCCUCAGUCCUUUGCUCUGUGUUUGUAUGUUAGCACCCAGCCCUAGUAUUCUGUUAACUCUUGUUGAUCCCGGUGGACGCUCUUGUGGAAUUCUGUUUUUUGUUCUUGUUUAUUUAUUUUUGAGUAUCUUUUGAGGCUUUUUGUGCUAUACCUACCACCUUGUGGAUUUACCUUUUUUUGUCUUGGAGGAUUACCUUUGUUCUUGUGGAAUUCCUUUUGAGGUUGUGGAGUUACAUGUGUUCCUGAAGGACUUCACUUUUUACUACAUUAAAUACACCGUCUCAAGUACUGCUGUGUCUGCCUCAUCUUCUGGGUUCUGCCGACUAUUCGUGGCUCAGUUGGUUAAGUGACUGUUUCUCACUCCGGAGACCCGGGU